AGUGAACGCUGGCGGUAGGCCUAACACAUGCAAGUCGAACGGCAGCACAGUAAGAGCUUGCUCUUACGGGUGGCGAGUGGCGGACGGGUGAGGAAUACAUCGGAAUCUACUUUUUCGUGGGGGAUAACGUAGGGAAACUUACGCUAAUACCGCAUACGACCUACGGGUGAAAGCAGGGGAUCUUCGGACCUUGCGCGAUUGAAUGAGCCGAUGUCGGAUUAGAUAGUUGGCGGGGUAAAGGCCCACCAAGGCGACGAUCCGUAGCUGGUCUGAGAGGAUGAUCAGCCACACUGGAACUGAGACACGGUCCAGACUCCGACGGGAGGCAGCAGUGGGGAAUAUUGGACAAUGGGCGCAAGCCUGAUCCAGCCAUACCGCGUGGGUGAAGAAGGCCUUCGGGUUGUAAAGCCCUUUUGUUGGGAAAGAAAAGCAGCAGGUUAAUACCCCGCUGUUCUGACGGUACCCAAAGAAUAAGCACCGGCUAACUUCGUG
rnacentral:rRNA from 1 species